AGUGAACGCUGGCGGCGUGCUUAACACAUGCAAGUCGAACGAGCAAGUGCUGUAGCAAUACAGAUUACUGCUAGUGGCAGACGGGUGAGUAAUACAUGGGAAUCUGCCUUGAAGUCUGGGAUAACUGUUGGAAACGACAGCUAAUACCGGAUAUUGCCGAGAGGUGAAAGAUUUAUCGCUUCAAGAUGAGCCCAUGCAAGAUUAGCUAGUUGGUGAGGUAAUGGCUCACCAAGGCGAAGAUCUUUAGCUGGUCUAAGAGGAUGAUCAGCCACACUGGAACUGAGACACGGUCCAGACUCCUACGGGAGGCAGCAGUGGGGAAUAUUGGACAAUGGGCGAAGCCUGAUCCAGCCAUUCCGCGUGCAGGAUGAAGGCCCUCGGGUUGUAAACUGCUUUUGUACAGAACGAAAAAGCUCUGGCUAAUACCUGGAGUCCAUGACGGUACUGUAAGAUAAG
rnacentral:rRNA from 1 species